AGAGUUUGAUCAUGGCUCAGAACGUACGCUGGCGGCACGCCUAACACAUGCAAGUCGAACGAAGUAGCAAUACUUAGUGGCAGACGGGUGAGUAACAUGUGGGUAUCUGCCCUUUGGCCUGGAAUAACACGGGGAAACUUGUGCUAAUACCGGAUAAGUCUUUACAGAGAAAGCUUUAUGCACCAUUGGAUGAGCCCGCACUUGAUUAGUUUGUUGGUAGGGUAAUGGCCUACCAAGACUGUGAUCAAUAGCUGAUUUGAGAGGAUGAUCAGCCACAUUGGGACUGAGACACGGCCCAAACUCCUACGGGAGGCAGCAGUGGGGAAUCUUGCACAAUGGAGGAAACUCUGAUGCAGCGAUGCCGCGUGAGUGAAGAAGGCCUUUGGGUUGUAAAGCUCUUUCGUCGGGGAAGAAAAUGACUGUACCCGAAUAAGAAGGUCCGGCUAACUUCGUGCCAGCAGCCGCGGUAAUACGAAGGGACCUAGCGUAGUUCGGAAUUACUGGGCUUAAAGAGUUCGUAGGUGGUUGAAAAAGUUGGUGGUGAAAUCCCAGAGCUUAACUCUGGAACUGCCAUCAAAACUUUUCAGCUAGAGUAUGAUAGAGGAAAGCAGAAUUUCUAGUGUAGAGGUGAAAUUCGUAGAUAUUAGAAAGAAUACCAAUUGCGAAGGCAGCUUUCUGGAUCAUUACUGACACUGAGGAACGAAAGCAUGGGUAGCGAAGAGGAUUAGAUACCCUCGUAGUCCAUGCCGUAAACGAUGUGUGUUAGACGUUGGAAAUUUAUUUUCAGUGUCGCAGCGAAAGCGAUAAACACACCGCCUGGGGAGUACGACCGCAAGGUUAAAACUCAAAUGAAUUGACGGGGACCCGCACAAGUAGUGGAGCAUGUGGUUUAAUUCGAAGAUACGCGCAGAACCUUACCAACACUUGACAUGUUCGUCGCGACUCUAAGAGAUUAGAGUUUUCGGUUCGGCCGGACGAAACACAGGUGCUGCAUGGCUGUCGUCAGCUCGUGUCGUGAGAUGUUGGGUUAAGUCCCGCAACGAGCGCAACCCUCACUUUUAGUUGCCAUCAUUAAGUUGGGCACUCUGAAAGAACUGCCAGUGAUAAGCUGGAGGAAGGUGGGGAUGACGUCAAGUCCUCAUGGCCCUUACGUGUUGGGCUACACACGUGCUACAAUGGUAUCUACAACAGGAAGCAAAACUGCGAAGUUAAGCAAAUCCUUAAAAGAUACCUCAGUUCGGAUUGCACUCUGCAACUCGAGUGCAUGAAGCUGGAAUUACUAGUAAUCGUGGAUCAGCGUGCCACGGUGAAUGCGUUCCCGGGUCUUGUACACACCGCCCGUCACACCAUGGGAGUUGGUUCUACCUUAAGGCAAGGUUUCAAACCCUUGACCACGGUAUAGUCAGCGACUGGGGUGAAGUCGUAACAAGGUAACCGUA
rnacentral:rRNA from 1 species